rnacentral:rRNA from 1 species
CCUUGACAUACUAAGAACUUUCCAGAGAUGGAUUGGUGCCUUCGGGAACUUAGAUACAGGUGCUGCAUGGCUGUCGUCAGCUCGUGUCGUGAGAUGUUGGGUUAAGUCCCGCAACGAGCGCAACCCUUUUCCUUAUUUGCCAGCGGGUCAUGCCGGGAACUUUAAGGAUACUGCCAGUGACAAACUGGAGGAAGGCGGGGACGACGUCAAGUCAUCAUGGCCCUUACGGCCAGGGCUACACACGUGCUACAAUGGUCGGUACAAAGGGUUGCUACCUCGCGAGAGGAUGCUAAUCUCAAAAAGCCGAUCGUAGCCCGGAUCGCAGUCUGCAACUCGACUGCGUGAAGUCGGAAUCGCUAGUAAUCGCGGAUCAGAAUGCCGCGGUGAAUACGUUCCCGGGCCUUGUACACACCGCCCGUCACACCAUGGGAGUUUGUUGCACCAGAAGUAGGUAGUCUAACCGCAAGGAGGACGCUUACCACGGUGUGGCCGAUGACUGGGGUGAAGUCGUAACAAGGUAAGCGUAGAUGA